rnacentral:rRNA from 1 species
AGAGUUUGACCUGGCUCAGAAUGAACGCUGGGGGCAGGCCUAACACAUGCAAGUCGGACGGAAACGACAAGAACAAUCACUUCGGUGUGCGUUCUUGGGCGUCGAGGGGCGAACGGGUGAGUAACGCGGGGAAAUCUACCCUUUAGUUGGGGACAACAUAUGGAAACGUAUGCUAAUACCGAAUAUGCUCUACGGAGAAAAGGUGCCCUCUCCUUGGAAGGUAUCGCUAAAGGAUGAGCCCGCGUUAGAUUAGCUAGUUGGUAAGGUAAAGGCUUACCAAGGCGACGAUCUAUAGCUGGUUUGAGAGGAUGAUCAGCCACACUGGGACUGAGACACGGCCCAGACUCCUACGGGAGGCAGCAGUGGGGAAUAUUGCACAAUGAGGGAAACCUUGAUGCAGCCAUGCCGCGUGUGUGAAGAAGGCCCGAGGGUUGUAAAGCACUUUCAAUUGUGAGGAAGAUUAAGUAGUUAAUACCUGCUUAGUUUGACGUUAACUUUAGGAGAAGCACCGGCUAACUCUGUGCCAGCAGCCGCGGUAAUACAGAGGGUGCAAGCGUUAUUCGGAAUUACUGGGCGUAAAGCGCGCGUAGGCGGACUGUUAAGUCGGUUGUGAAAGCCCUGGGCUCAACCUAGGAACUGCAUCCGAUACUGGCAAUCUAGAGUUUAAGAGAGGGAAGUGGAAUUCCAGGUGUAGCAGUGAAAUGCGUAGAUAUCUGGAGGAACAUCAGUGGCGAAGGCGACUUCCUGGGCUUAAAACUGACGCUGAGGUGCGAAAGCUUGGGUAGCGAACGGGAUUAGAUACCCCGGUAGUCCAAGCCGUAAACGAUGUCAACUAGCUGUUGGGUCUUAUUAAAAAGAUUAGUAGCGUAGC